rnacentral:rRNA from 1 species
GCUUAACGCGAAGAACCUUACCCACCUUUGACAUCCCGUGCUACCUAGAGAGAUCUAGGGUCCCUUCGGGGCGCGGAGACAGGUGCUGCAUGGCUGUCGUCAGCUCGUGUCGUGAGAUGUUGGGUUAAGUCCCGCAACGAGCGCAACCCUCGCUUCUAGUUGCCAGCAUUUAGUUGGGCACUCUAGAGGAACUGCCUGCGCCAAGCAGGAGGAAGGCGGGGAUGACGUCAAGUCCUCAUGGCCCUUACAGGUGGGGCUACACACGUGCUACAAUGGCGGUGACAAAGGGAUAAUCCCUAAAAGCCGUCUCAGUUCGGAUUGUCCUCUGCAACUCGAGGGCAUGAAGUUGGAAUCGCUAGUAAUCGCGGAUCAGCACGCCGC